rnacentral:rRNA from 1 species
UUCGGGGUACACGAGCGGCGAACGGGUGAGUAACACGUGAGCAACCUGCCCCUGACUCCGGGAUAAGCGGUGGAAACGCCGUCUAAUACCGGAUACGACCCGUCAUCUCAUGGUGGUGGGUGGAAAGUUUUCUCGGUUGGGGAUGGGCUCGCGGCCUAUCAGCUUGUUGGUGGGGUAACGGCCUACCAAGGCGAUUACGGGUAGCCGGCCUGAGAGGGCGACCGGCCACACUGGGACUGAGACACGGCCCAGACUCCUGCGGGAGGCAGCAGUGGGGAAUAUUGCGCAAUGGGCGAAAGCCUGACGCAGCGACGCCGCGUGGGGGAUGACGGCCUUCGGGUUGUAAACCUCUUUUACCACCAACGCAGGCUCCCGGUUCUCCGGGGGUUGACGGUAGGUGGGGAAUAAGGACCGGCUAACUACGUGCCAGCAGCCGCGGUAAUACGUAGGGUCCGAGCGUUGUCCGGAAUUAUUGGGCGUAAAGAGCUCGUAGGCGGCGUGUCGCGUCUGCUGUGAAAGACCGGGGCUUAACUCCGGUUCUGCAGUGGAUACGGGCAUGCUAGAGGUAGGUAGGGGAGACUGGAAUUCCUGGUGUAGCGGUGAAAUGCGCAGAUAUCAGGAGGAACACCGGUGGCGAAGGCGGGUCUCUGGGCCUUACCUGACGCUGAGGAGCGAAAGCAUGGGGAGCGAACAGGAUUAGAUACCCUGGUAGUCCAUGCCGUAAACGUUGGGCGCUAGGUGUGGGGACUUUCCACGGUUUCCGCGCCGUAGCUAACGCAUUAAGCG